rnacentral:tRNA from 1 species
GCUAGUGUAGCUCAACCGGAAGAGCAGACGUCUUGUAAUCGUCAGGUUGCGGGUUCAAGUCCCGCCGUUAGCUCCA